rnacentral:tRNA from 1 species
GUCGAAGUGGCGGAAUGGAAAGCAGACGCGCAAAGUUUACGAUGCUGAAAAACUUUGUGAGAAUGUGACUCGUGCGGGUGAAAGUCCCGCCUUCGACACCA